rnacentral:rRNA from 1 species
UACGAAGGGGGCUAGCGUUGCUCGGAAUUACUGGGCGUAAAGCGCACGUAGGCGGAUUGUUAAGUCGGGGGUGAAAUCCUGGAGCUCAACUCCAGAACUGCCUUCGAUACUGCGAUCUCGAGUUCGGGAGAGGUGAGUGGAACUGCGAGUGUAGAGGUGAAUUCGUAGAUAUUCGCAAGAACACCAGUGGCGAGGCGGCUCACUGGCCCGAUACUGACGCUGAGGUGCGAAAGCGUGGGAG